rnacentral:rRNA from 1 species
UGAUGCGAUCAUACCAGCACAAAUGUAAUUGAUCCUAUCAGAACACCGCCGUUAAGCGUGCUUGGGCGAGAGUAGUACUAGGAUGGGUGACCUCCAGGAAAGUCCUCGUGUUUCAUCAC